rnacentral:rRNA from 1 species
UACGGGGGGGGGGCAAGCGUUUGUUCGGAAUUACUGGGGCGUAAAGGGCUCGUAGGUGGCCAACUAAGUCAGACGUGAAAAUCCCCCAGGCUCAACUUGGGAACUGCGUCUGAUACUGGAUGGCUUGAAUUCGGGAGAGGGAUGCAGAAUUCCAGGUGUAGCGGUGAAAUGCGUAGAUAUCUGGAGGAACACCGGUGGCGAAGGCGGUUCUCUGGGCAUGUCCUGACGCUGAGGAGCGAAAGUGUGGGGAGCGAACAGG